UCAACCAUAUGUUAACCCGUGAACUUUCAAUUCCCGUGGAUGAAGUGUAUUUCUGGACUGACAGCCAGACAGUGUUAAAAUAUAUUGCAAAUGAAACCAGUCGCCAUCAAGUAUUCGUAUCUAAUCGUCUUGCCGUCAUAAGAGACGGUUCUGGUCUCGAUCAGUGGCAUUACGUUCUGUCGAAGCUUAAUCCUGCAGAUCACGCGUCGCGAGGAUUAUCAGCUGAUAGUUUGGAUUUUGUGAACUGGAUAUCAGGCCCAAAAUUUUUAAUGUGUCCCUCUGACUCGUGGCCUGUUAAUUCUUGUGAAUAUAAUGUGCCUGAAAAUAUGUGUAAUGAUAAAGAUAUAUUUGUGAAUUCUAUUAAGAUCUCUCAAUUAGCUAAAAAUAUCAUUGAUCGGUUAAUGUCUCAUUAUUCAGAGUAUAUUCGAUUAUUACGUGGUGUAUCGUGGUUAAUAUGCUUGAAGAAUAUUCUUAAAUGUAAAAUACAAAAUCGUGAUAUCCCCCAAAGUUUGUGUUGUAAAUCCUUAUCAAAUGAGGAAGUGUUAAUUGCAGAGCGUGCUUUGCUUUGCUAUGUGCAAAAAUGUGAAUUCGUGGAAGAAUUUGAAUCAUUGGAAAGCCAGUCAUCUAAUGUCAAAAUGAAAAGUUCUUUGGAAAAUUUAAAUCCAUAGAUUGUGAAUAAUCUAAUCUGUGUUGGUGGACGAUUGCAAAAUGCAUCUAUUCCAGAUACUGCUAAAAAUCAAAUAAUAUUGCCUAAAGGUCAUAUUGUGUCUCGAUUAAUCGUAAAAGAAUGUCAUAAAAAAGUCGGUCAUCAGGGCAGAAAUCACACUUGCUUAGAUCCGUCAAAAAUAGUUAAGAAUGUGUUACAUAAUUGUGUUGUGUGUAAAAGGCUAAAUUCGUGUGUCGGUCAACAGCAGAUGGCUGAUUUACCUACAUGUAGGUUCAAUCAGACCAAAAAGCAUUUUCGUGCACCGGUAUUGAAGGUUUAUGGCUCGUUGUGGUGUACCCAAAGACUUUUAUUCUGACAAUGGCUCUAAUUUUGUUAGUGCAAAUAAAGAGAUGUCAAAAAGCGUUAAAGAGUUGGAUCAAGAAACAUUUCGCAAUCUGGGUAUUCAAUUCGAGUUUAAUUGGAACUUUAACCCACCGACAGCGUCACACCAUGGCGGUGUAUGGGAAAGGAUGAUCAGAACAAUAAGAAAAGUGCUUCAAGCAAUUCUUAGUGAACAAUUUCUAAAAUCUAGCCAAAACGAAGAACAAUUGACCUUUCCGUCGACUCCGCCCACAAUAAGACUUUGACCAAUCAGCUUCGAUUACAGUUUCCCGCGAAAUGACGUCGCGUUACUACGCUUCAUCACCUUAGACAAACUUCGUGAAUUUUGACAUUUUGUCGUGUGUUCAAACGUCGUCAAUCGUGGUUAAUCAUUGCUCACACGGACAUCGUAUCAGCAAUAGCUGCUAUCCAGACAGGUUAAAGGGUGGUAUAGUGUGCUUCCCUUCCUGAAACAGUUAAAAAAAAAAAUAUGGGAUGUGUCUUCUAGGCCUAAUGGAUAAGACUGUUGUCGAAGUCACUCCCACUAGUUAAAUGUAAACAAAUGUCAAUUCUAACCGGUCAAGUGUGUUCCAAGUACUUUCUGAAGCUGUCUGGACCAAUAGAAAAUAAUCCAGAACCAUAUUCAGGUGAUCAUAAUGGAAGUAUAACAUGACAUCAAAAUUAACAAGAGCUGCAGCAAUAAAAAGACAGACAAAUUGUUGCCAGCUACAUUCCUGAAGAAGAAAAAAAAAUACCAAGAAUUAACAAAAAAUGUACAAGAAAUUUAACAUGUGAUUUCAAAAUUUCACUCUCUGCAAAGUCUGCCGCCCUUUGAUUCAGAACAUACAUUGUAAAACUGUUUUCAUAAUUAUAUCUAGUCAUUUAGAUGUAGCCUAAACACUGUACAUGUAUUUUUAAAUAAAUAGUAUUACUUACCGGUAUCUACAAUCUUGAAUUGUAUUCUUUCAUGAAAUAUCAAAAUGGUUGUGUUGAUGCUAGGGUGGCCCAUGCACCUACAGAAAUACAGUCAAUUGCUGAUAGUUCGAGACUACCACUGAAGCAUGCACAUUCGCCGUGUCGAGGCCAACUUUCUGACAGUAUGAUACUAUAAAUAGCCAUGGCACGUGCAAUUCUCUACAAAUCUAUCAACUAUUACAGCCGUAAAAAAUUUAUUGUUGACGAUUUUGAAUAGCAGUAAAAUUAAGCUUCUUGGUUAUUACAGCAGAUUUAGAAAUUACGUUCGAUUCAUUUUUUAAAUCGCUUUAUCAUUAACUGUACCGUUCAGAGCAGCAUCUUUUUGGUUUAGUACAAAUAAUAUCUCUGAAGCACUCGGGUUAGACAGGAACAUGAUACUAGCAGUAGUUUCAUUUUACUUUUACAAGCUUCUUAAAACAAUUGUUGAGCUAGCUAACGUGCUCAUUUCUAAAUUCAAUUUCUUGUUCUAGCUUUCUGUUAUGUUUCGUAAAAAAGUAGUCUUGAUUAUCCCGACCUGUCAAUCAGCCCUUGAAUGGUCGAUAGACUGGUUAAGCGAGACUAAUUUCAAAACAAGGGCACGUAACCUAUUUUUUACUCAAGAGUGUCUGGAUGUUAUGGACGACACAUGGAACCAGUUUUCAGUCUAUUAUUUAUAGAUGAUUAAUGGUCAUAGCUUAUUAAGUACAACAUGAUCGUUUAUUUAGUGACUAUAAUUGUGUGAAACUGAUUUGAGGCUUGGCAUAUAUAUAAAUAUUGUGGCGAAAUUGUCGAGAUAUAUGGAGAUAUUUAUUUAUGGUGGGUCACCCUAUCGAUGCGGUUUACUACAACAUGAUCAAUCUUGUCACCUCUUAGUCUUAGCGUUUCUUCAUGGUUGUGUUAGGGAGUGCAAUCACAAGCCCGACGGCAAGGGAGCAGUAGCCACACAUCCUACAAAUUAUAAAUCAUCAUGAUAAAAAGAAAAUCUCGCCAUGUUUUCUCUAUUUUACUAGUUGAAAGAAACAUAAUAUGGGUUGGCCUGGCCUACUAUAGACAUACCGAACCACUUAUAAAACGUGUAUAUAUUCGCGGCCUAAAGUUUUUGUAUUUCACUAUAUAGUUGAAAGUAUUACAAGUCACGACAGUAACGUAACUAGUACUACUAGUUUACUGGGCCUUAUAGGCCUUGCAACCUACAGAAUUACCCAUAUAGCCAAACUUGGUUUUCUCUAAAUUUAUAUCAAAUCCAGACCAGACUAUGCUAAACAACUAUGAUGAUCCUAAAGUUGCAGAACCGCAGAAUGUCAUACGUUAUGAUACAGUAUUUAUAAUUGUAUGUACCCCCCCCCCCUUCCUCAUUACGCUUCACACUCACUUUUAUUCCUAAACCAUUCUUACAU